rnacentral:rRNA from 1 species
GACGAACGCUGGCGGCGUGCUUAACACAUGCAAGUCGAACGGAAAGGCCCUGCUUUUGUGGGGUGCUCGAGUGGCGAACGGGUGAGUAACACGUGAGUAACCUGCCCUUGACUUUGGGAUAACUUCAGGAAACUGGGGCUAAUACCGGAUAGGAGCUCCUGCUGCAUGGUGGGGGUUGGAAAGUUUCGGCGGUUGGGGAUGGACUCGCGGCUUGUCAGCUUGUUGGUGGGGUAGUGGCUUACCAAGGCUUUGACGGGUAGCCGGCCUGAGAGGGUGACCGGCCACAGGGGGAAGAAGCGACGGCCCAGAGUGGUAGGGGGGGAAGAAGGGGGAAAAGUUGCACAGCGGCGGGACGCCGGAUGCGGCAACGCGGGGGGGGGGAGGAGGGCCGGCGGUUUAAAACCGGAUCGCGGCGGAGAGGGAGCGGGAGUGCAGGAAAGGGGAAAAGACGCACAGGCAAACUACGUGCAAGCAGCAGCGGUAAUAAUCGAACCUCACACGUCUGAAC